UACAGAGGUCUCAAGCGUUGUUCGGAUUCAUUGGGCGUAAAGGGUGCGUAGGCGGUUUGUCGCGUCUGCUGUGAAAACUCGGGGCUUAACUCCGGGCCUGCAGUGGGUACGGGCAGACUAGAGUGCGGUAGGGGAGACUGGAAUUCCUGGUGUAGCGGUGAAAUGCGCAGAUAUCAGGAGGAACACCGGUGGCGAAGGCGGGUCUCUGGGCCGAAAUUGACGCUGAGGUGCGAAAGCGUGGGGAGCAAACAGG
rnacentral:rRNA from 1 species